rnacentral:lncRNA from 1 species
CCGCCUUUCUCUCCUCCUCCUCCCCCUCCUCGGCCUCCUCCUCCCGGUUCAGCCUUUGUCGCGCGGCGGGGGGCGCCCGGCCCGCGGCUCCCCGGUCAGAGCGGUAGCACCGCGAGACUUGGGGCUGCGGACGGCGGGACCCCCAAGUUGGGCGCCGGCGACUGGCGGGGGCAGAGGGCCGGGCGCUCCCUCGGGCUCGCGCAGGUGCUCGGGCCUGGCCGGGCUGGGACCGCAGGCGCCUCUCCCGCGCUCGCCUAGCCCGGGCUGCCCCCGCACGCCCACGCCCCAGGUGUCCGGGCGCGCUUUACCCAGGGGCGCCGUGCCCAGGCCAGGAGGCCAGGGCGGAGCGGGUGAGGGAGAAGCCCAUUUAGAUUCAGAGGGAAGCCGGUCCUGGGAGACGGCCGCGAGGAACAAAGGCGCCCCAGUGCUGCCCACUUAGCAUGCCAGAGCCGCGCUGCUCGGCUCCCAGGCCGGGGACACGGCCCGGUGUUAAGCGGAGGGUGCCCGACCGCGGGAAUUCCUAAGGCCACGCGCACCUCCAAGGCCACCGCCGCACACAGCUUCGGAGUGCACAGUGCACACGCCCAGGCACAGGCAGCCGGCCCGAGAAAUUGUGAAUGUCUUGGCUUUGAGUUUAUCUGCGUAUCCUGGCGAAGUUUGGAUGCAGAGAACUUGGAGCUGUUGUUUUCUACCAGACACUAGGAUCCCUGAGAGAGCUUCCUACUUCUUGCACUGGUCCAUUGCAAUAAAAGACAGGCGACACGUGGACAACUGCUAGACACUUCCCAAGUCUGGAGUCGGCCGUGCUGUGGUUUUUGGUGUCAUUCUUUCGCGCUGCACACACCUUCCUCCACGUGGUGAAGAUACAUCGCUCCUGACAGUAGAGAUGGGGUUUCACCGUGUUAACCAGGAUGGUCUCAAUCUCCUGACCUCGUGAUCCGCCCACCUUGUCCUCCCAAAGUGCUGGGAUUACAGGCGUGAGCCACCGCGCCCAGCCGAACUUGAGUCUUCUUAAUCAAGCCUCAUGCCUGACUGGACACUGAAAAAGAGGUGAAGAGAUGAGGCGAUAGAACAAAAGAACAGAAAGAUAAUGAAGCUGAGACUAACAUAAUUAUGUAUGCAGCCACAAAUGGAGCACAAAGCAAUUACUGCUUGUGGGAAUUUGAGAGAUGCUCUUUGAAGAGGUGUGAGGGAAUCAGUAAUACUUGCAGUGACUUUUAAGGAGGUGGAGUGUGCUGAUGAAGAUGCCACAAAGAACUGAUGGGAAGUUAUUCCUCUCCCCAACUGCUAUUGUAUCCUUCCUGUAGUGCUGUCUCUGCUUUUUGCAUCUUGCCCAGUAUAUUAUGACACAAAUAAAAAUUCUCUUUUCAUCAUCUUGCAACUUGUAAGAGGCCUGAGAGAAUUCUUGUGCAGGGCCCUUAGAACACACAUGAAAAGAUAAUUUAUUAAAACAUUAAAUUCA